rnacentral:rRNA from 1 species
AUGGCUGCGGUAUUUUGACCGUACAAAGGUAGCAUAAUCAUUAGUUUUUUAAUUGAAAACUUGUAUGAAUGGUUUAAUGAGAAAAAUUCUGUCUCUGAUUUAUUUGUAUAGAAUUUUAUUUUUAAGUUAAAAAGCUUAAAUUUAGUUAAAGGACGAGAAGACCCUAUAGAGUUUAAUAAUAUUUUAGUUUUAUACAUUUAAGAAUUUAUUUGUAUUUAAGCUUAAAAUAUUAAUUUGUUGGGGUGACCAAAAAAUUUUAUAAACUUUUUUUAUUAAUUUACAUUUAUUUAUGAUUAUUUGAUCCAUGUUUUAUGAUUAAAAGAUUAAAUUACCUUAGGGAUAACAGCGUAAUUUUUUUGGAGAGUUCUAAUCGAUAAAAAAGUUUGCGACCUCGAUGUUGGAUUAAAAUUAACAAUUGGCGUAGUAGUUAAUUUGUUGGGUCUGUUCGACCUUUAAAAUUUUACAUGAUCUGAGUUUAAACCGGUGUGAGCCAGGUUGGUUUCUAUCCUUAAUUUGUUAAAAUAUUUUAGUACGAAAGGACCAAAUAUUUAUAAAAUUUAUUUAUAAGGGAAUAUUAGUGUUACUUUGGCAGAUUAGUGCAUUAAAUUUAGAAUUUAAAUAUGUAUAUUAUACAAGUAAUACUUGAUUUUUUUGGAUUUACUUUUAACAUUAAUUAGUAUAUUAAUUUUAGUUAUUUGUGUGUUAGU